rnacentral:rRNA from 1 species
GAUGAACGCUGGCGGCGUGCCUAAUACAUGCAAGUCGAGCGAACAGACGAGGAGCUUGCUCCUCUGACGUUAGCGGCGGACGGGUGAGUAACACGUGGAUAACCUACCUAUAAGACUGGGAUAACUUCGGGAAACCGGAGCUAAUACCGGAUAAUAUAUUGAACCGCAUGGUUCAAUAGUGAAAGACGGUUUUGCUGUCACUUAUAGAUGGAUCCGCGCCGCAUUAGCUAGUUGGUAAGGUAACGGCUUACCAAGGCAACGAUGCGUAGCCGACCUGAGAGGGUGAUCGGCCAAACUGGAACUGAGACACGGUCCAGACUCCUACGGGAGGCAGCAGUAGGGAAUCUUCCGCAAUGGGCGAAAGCCUGACGGAGCAACGCCGCGUGAAUGAUGAAGGUCUUCGGAUCGUAAAACUCUGUUAUUAGGGAAGAACAAAUGUGUAAGUAACUAUGCACGUCUUGACGGUACCUAAUCAGAAAGCCACGGCUAACUACGUG